rnacentral:lncRNA from 1 species
UGUUAAAGGGUUUCUUUUUCUUUUUUUUUUUGGUUCACUUCUUCGGUUCUGUUUAUUGUUUAUAUAUAAUAUAUAAUAAUAGGUUUUUCAUACAUGUUUUGCUGAUACAAUAAUAUAUUUAUAUUACACGCAUAUUAAGCAUAUAUAAAUGAAAAUUAUAGGCUAAGCUUAAUAGUUAAGCUUUUCCUAUAAUAAAAUGAAUAGACCACAUCAAAAAUUAAAUAUAUAUGUAAAAAGCUUUAUAUAUAUAUAUAGUUUUAUAUGUACAAAAUUCGUAACACAUAUAUACAUAGAGUUUGUUCUCCCAAUGUCUACAAACGAUACAAAUGAUCAUCGUUGUUUGGUAUAAGAGUUUCGUUGUCGUUGAAGUGAAACUCGCCGUUUGGAUUGAUCACUUGGUCGCGGAGAAAUCCUGCUAUCGUCUCUUGGAUAGCUUUGAUUCGGUCUUGUUGUAGGACCUUUUCCCUCAGCCAUUCUGUCUUUAAUUUGAAAUAAAUAAAAAAGGUAUUAGUUAUCUAAGUUAUUCAAUAUAAUUCAGGAGAUAAUGAAAAGAGACAUGUAACGUACUCUGAGCGUCUCUGUGGGUGUUUGAUUGACUUGUGCCAUCAUGAAUUUGCACACGUAAUAUGCACAUAGAUUGUUCCCCCCUUCUUGUCUUAAACACCACUGUACGAUGUAUAUAUAUAUAAAAAUAUUCAUAACCACGACAAUAAGAAGGCUAAAAGUUAGCGAAAGUUUGUUAGCUAGUAGAACUUACUUGUGGAUGUAUUAUGUUAAGCGGCGCUUUACAUCCACUGAGAUGUUCACGGUCAAUGAAUCUUUCCCAAACCCUAUACACAGCCAUUGUGGAUCGUGAACUAAUAAUUACAGAGUCAUAUUAUGAUAUUUUUGUAGCUGAGAUCGACAUUACGUACCUUUGAAUAAUGUUUACCAUUUGUUGAUAAUUUUCUUGUGGUUUUCUCAUUGAGUCAA